rnacentral:lncRNA from 1 species
GUCAGGCUGGGUUUCAGUUCACAGUUCAGAUUGCUGUGUCAUGGUGACAUGCAAACGUUUUAAAUUGCAUGUAAAUGUCUUUACUCUGGCAAGUGAUAGACAUUUGGACCUUGUGUUGCCAUCAAUGGGCUGAAAUGGGGUAUAACUGCAUCCACAGUCAGUCUGAUAUUCUUCCCAACACUUGGGGAUGGCUGUGUGCAGACACUGGGAGAGUAGAGGCCUGCUGGCUGCUUCAUCCAUGAUAUCACUGAUCCCAUCUGUGACUUCAGGACAUGAACACUUUUAUUUGUGAACAGUUUGGUUUGGCAAAAUUGUGUUUUUGUUUGCAAACUCUGCAUCAAGUGAUGAACAUGACUACAACCAUCUUUUUUGCAUGAAGAGAAAAAUGGCCAUUUCCUCCAGAAUUGAGGAACAAAUUAAGUUCCUGAACUGAGGCAUCACUGUAUUACACAAAGUGGACUUGAAGAAUGUGAAUCAUCUGUUGCAACACUCCUGUAAUUUAAAUAAAAUUCUUGGUAUUUUCUUUUAAAUUGAUUUUUCUUUUUGUAGGCUGUUUUUUGAGUCUUCUGUUGUCACAUCAUUGAAUCUCCCCCUCCCCUCAAAGAAGC